rnacentral:lncRNA from 1 species
AUAAAGUGCCAGUUAAAUGUCCACAAUGAAUAUAAACUGUGUAGCUUUCAGAUAUACUGAAGCUGAAGAAACUUAUGCUCUUGAUCUUAUUUUCUGAGUAUCAGAUCUCAGAUAAAGACAAGCUGUGCUUUUUAUAUCUGAAUUAUGCACAUGCAUAGAAAGUGAAUUUUGGUGUGGUUUUAAUUUUUUGUUGUUUGCUUAUUUUAUUUUUGCAUGAAGCAGCUAUUCUGCAUGGACGCUACUUUCCCAAGAAAUGAAGGACAGUUACCAAACCUCUUUGUAGUGCACUGGAUUCAUAGCCUGAGUGACGUCAAUUACUGCAGGAGAUGGAAAAAUGCAGUGAAUUGCCCUUUAAGACUGCAGAAACUGAAAGAGAGACAGUCAUUGGCAAAACUUUGGUAGCCAUUCCUUGGAGAUUGCAAAAGCAUAAAUUAUUUUCAGAAGAGUUGGGGUUGGAUGACUAAGAAAAAAGGUAAACAGAGAGGAUAAAUAAGUAUGACGGUUUUCAGAGACUUAAAGUAAGUAGGCUGGAGUAUUUUUAUAUGUUUAGGCAUCCUAAAUUUUCAUAUAGUGAAGCUUUUCUGUGCCAGUAGUGCAGUCUUGCGUGAGGAAGCAAAGGCUGCCUCAUGGAUCCUGUGUGCCUUUCAGCUUCUAGCAGCGCAGGACCAAAGUAUG